AUCUACUCCAACGCAAUUUCGUGCUUGUUUGGCUUUUAGCGUGUCCUGAUGCAUGAUCAGUAAUCCAUGUAGAUCAAUCUAACAAGGCUGAAUCAGAUCCACGACGCUGGUUAAAUGUGCUUAAUGUUAUGUGAAGUAUUUUUGCUUUACGAGUUAAUUUCAAUUGUCACUAAUGCCUCUCGAUGAAACCAUUGACAGAUACUGAAUACGAAAAACAAAAAUAGCAAUGUGCUCAUAAGUUUAUGAUGCUGUCGUAUUUUUUUUAUUAUUUGCCAUUUACUUUUUUAUCAUCAUUAUUUUUACAAGCGCGACUCAGAAAAUUACGAGGUGCAGUGAAUGCAGCACAACGAAAGGCUUUUUGGUGGCACGCAAACUGCGGCUGUGAAGAGUUUGGCGCCGUUUGCUGGAGUAAACGAUGAACUGAUGAUUUAAUGGACUAACUAUGACCCAUGAUCGGACCGUGGUCAGUGGCCAAGGCCCCCCUCUGUGUCUCCCACGAUGACUGCUUGUGGGAUGUUACAUCUAAGACUAUUGCAGCUGUUCAUGUUCCCACCCAGGCUCCAAAGACAGUUAUYAACCAACAUGACUCCAGGCUUCUGAAAAGAGCUCGGUGACCACAGGGCACA